rnacentral:ribozyme from 1 species
AGCAAUACUGCACUGGUAAGGUAUGGAUCCGACGCCUCUUGAAGGUCAACAAAGGCUCUCCAUACCCUACUUCGACUCAAUACGUCCCCGGCGUAUAGAACGGUAACAUGUCUCUCCAAA